rnacentral:rRNA from 1 species
AUUGAACGCUGGCGGCAUGCUUUACACAUGCAAGUCGAACGGUAACAGGCCUUCGGGUGCUGACGAGUGGCGAACGGGUGCGUAAUGCAUCGGAACGUACCCAGAGGUGGGGGAUAACGCAGCGAAAGCUGUGCUAAUACCGCAUGUGAUCUGAGGAUGAAAGCGGGGGACCGAGCAGCAAUGUUUGGCCUCGCGCCUUUGGAGCGGCCGAUGUCGGAUUAGCUAGUUGGUGGGGUAAAGGCCUACCAAGGCGACGAUCCGUAGCUGGUCUGAGAGGACGACCAGCCACACUGGGACUGGGACACGGCCCAGACUCCUACGGGAGGCAGCAGUGGGGAAUUUUGGACAAUGGGCGCAAGCCUGAUCCAGCAAUGCCGCGUGCGGGAAGAAGGCCUUCGGGUUGUAAACCGCUUUUGGCAGGAACGAAACGGUGUCCGCUAAUACCGGGCGCUAAUGACGGUACCUGCAGAAUAAGCACCGGCUAACUACGUG